rnacentral:tRNA from 2 species
GGAGGAGCCGCCGGUGUGGCGACGGCACCUGUCCCGAAAACAGCAGCCCGCGAGGGCUCGAGGGUUCGACUCCCUCCUCCUCCACCA